UACGUAGGGACCGAGCGUUGUCCGGAAUCAUUGGGCGUAAAGAGCGUGUAGGCGGCUAUUUAAGUCCUGCGUGAAAUCCUGCGGCUCAACCGCAGACGGUCGUGGGAAACUGGAUGGCUAGAGUGCGGGAGAGGCGAGUGGAAUUCCUGGUGUAGCGGUGAAAUGCGUAGAUAUCGGAAGGAACACCAGUGGCGAAAGCGGCUUCCUGGUCCAGCACCGACGUCAGGCACGAAAGCGUGGGGAGCAAACAGG
rnacentral:rRNA from 1 species